AGCUCGGUUCCCCCGCAACAAUUCGCUGUGAACCCCGCCAGGUCCGGAAGGAAGCAACGGUAGCAGUAACAUUGUGUGCCGGGGUGUGGCUGGGUUGAGU
rnacentral:SRP_RNA from 1 species